rnacentral:rRNA from 1 species
GUAACUGACGCUGAGGCACGAAAGCGUGGGGAGCAAACAGGAUUAGAUACCUGGUAGUCCACGCCGUAAACGAUGAGUACUAGGUGUCGGGGGUUACCCCCCUCGGUGCCGAGCUAACGCAUUAAGUACUCCGCCUGGGAAGUACGCUCGCAAGAGUGAAACUCAAAGGAAUGACGGGGACCCGCACAAGUAGCGGAGCAUGUGGUUUAAUUCGAAGCAACGCGAAGAACCUACCUAAGCUUGACAUCCCAUUGACCUCUCCCUAAUCGGAGAUUUCCCUUCGGGGACAGUGUGACAGGUGGUGCAUGGUUGUCGUCAGCUCGUGUCGUGAGAUGUUGGGUUAAGUCCCGCACGAGCGCAACCCUUGCCUUUAGUUGCCAGCAUUAAGUUGGGCACUCUAGAGGGACUGCCAGGAUAACUCGGAGGAAGGUGGGGAUGACGUCAAAUCAUCAUGCCCCUUAUGCUUAGGGCACACACGUGCUACAAUGGGUGGUACAGAGGGUUGCCAAACCGUGAGGUGGAGCUAAUCCCUAAAGCCAUUCUCAGUUCGGAUUGUAGGCUGAAACUCGCCUACAUGAAGCUGGAGUUACUGUAAUCGCAGAUCAGAAUGCUGCGGUGAAUGCGUUCCCGGGUCUUGUACACACCGCCCGU